GACAUACUCCCUCCGUCCGGAAAUACGUGUCCUAAGAAUGGUUGUAUUUGGACUUGUUUUAGUUAUAGAUAUAUCCAUUUUAUUUAUUUUUAGGACAAGUAUUUCCGGACGGAGGGAGUAUGAU
rfam:Triticum aestivum genome assembly, contig: Triticum_aestivum_CS42_TGACv1_scaffold_050261_1BS